rnacentral:lncRNA from 10 species
GCUGUCCCACGCGCCGGGUCCCGUUGGCGCCGGGGCCUCCUGGGACGGCCUGGCCGCGGCCUGCGGGUGUAGGCGCCUCGGCGGCCACCGCGUCCCCAGGGGGCCUCGCGGACGGGGGCGCGGGGCUGCGGGGAGGAGGCGGGCGGGCCCCUCGGGCGACACCGCGGGGCGGGCGGCGGGAAGCCCGGACUCAGCGGUUUCCUGGGCAACCGGCCUCCUCCGGCGCGGCCCGCGCGGCUCCAGGUGGCGGGAGGCGGCGGUUGGCGGGAAGGGCCGCGCGGGCCCGGGGGCGGCGCCUCAGGUAGCAGCGCCAGGUGGCGCCCGUGGGCGGCGGGGCUCCCGGGGAGGCGCCUGCUCCCGCCCACGCCGGGCCCGGCCUUCGCGAGCUUCCUUCUGGAUUCCAGCGCGAAGCCGCCGCGGAAACUCCCCGGGCGGGCAUCGGAGCUCUGGGGCGGGGCGGCCGGGCUCAGAGGGCGGGCGGGAGCAGGCGGGCGGCGAGGGCGGGCAGCAGCAGCGGGAGCAGGGGCGCCCCGGGCGCCGGGGCCGCUGCGCCCGAGCACUGCUGAGACGACAUCCCUUCCAGCGCCGCCACGUAGUCCAGCCCCAGCCAGCCGCGGUAGGUGGUUUUCUCUCCGACAGGCACCGCCCGGACGGUGGCAUCCUUGAAAAGCAGGUCUUGGCCAUGAUAGUUGGAGGAGUCGAACAUUUUGAACCCGUUCUUAUUGUGGUCGUCUCCAAACAGGUCCUGGAAGCACCGCAGGCAGACGACCUGCUCCUCACUGGGCUCAGGCAGGGUCACCCGCCCAGUGCCGCUAGCUGCAAAUUGCUUUACAUACAGUGACCCAAAGAGCAAGUCAUUUCAGGGCCCCACCACUCUGAUUGGAAGUCAUAAGCUUGACAACUGAUUGGCCUCUGUCACCCAAGCGGGUGUGGGGACACUAGGCCCGCAGGUGCCACUGGAAGAGGCGUUCAGAAGCACUGCGGUGCUCCAGCUCCUGGAUGCAGGUCUGAGGCCUGAGAUGUCCAGGAAGAAAGACCCAGAAAUGAGGGAUGGUGUGGGUGGGAUUCCUGAGCGUUCUGCUAGGCCUGCUGAGCACUUCUUGGCCUUUUCCAUAAGGCUUUCUCACUCUGUCUUACAGAUAUCUCCCCACAAACCUAAACAAUUUCGAGAGGGACUUGUGUUCUGCAACCAGUCACAGAAUAUCAGGUGAGCUGGGCGUGUCUUCACUGACCCACCCGCCCAGGGAUGCUGCACUCCUCUCCACCCUGCUCAGAAUCACUAGAAUGACCGUUCUGUGGCUACAGCCCUAAAAGAGCUACUAAAAAGACCAGAAGUAGUAUGAGAACUUAUGAAUACGAAUAUAAAUAAAGGACAUCUGGAGAACAUGCA